GGGUUGUGAGGUUAAGCGACUAAGCGUACACGGUGGAUGCCCUGGCAGUCAGAGGCGAUGAAGGACGUGCUAAUCUGCGAAAAGCGUCGGUAAGGUGAUAUGAACCGUUAUAGCCGGCGAUGUCCGAAUGGGGAAACCCAGUGCAAUUCGUUGCACUAUCGUUAACUGAAUACAUAGGUUAACGAGGCGAACCGGGGGAACUGAAACAUCUAAGUACCCCGAGGAAAAGAAAUCAACCGAGAUUCCCCCAGUAGCGGCGAGCGAACGGGGAGCAGCCCGGAGUCUGAAUCAGCUUGUGUGUUAGUGGAAGCGUCUGGAAAGUCGCAGGGUACAGGGUGAUACUCCCGUACACUAAAACACACAGGUUGUGAACUCGAAGAGUAGGGCGGGACACGUGGUAUCCUGUCUGAAUAUGGGGGGACCAUCCUCCAAGGCU
rnacentral:rRNA from 1 species